AAGCAACGCGAAGAACCUUACCAGGUCUUGACAUCCCAUUGACCGCUAUGGAGACAUAGCUUUCCCUUCGGGGACAGUGGUGACAGGUGGUGCAUGGUUGUCGUCAGCUCGUGUCGUGAGAUGUUGGGUUAAGUCCCGCAACGAGCGCAACCCUUGAUCUUAGUUGCCAUCAUUCAGUUGGGCACUCUAAGGUGACUGCCGGUGAUAAACCGGAGGAAGGUGGGGAUGACGUCAAAUCAUCAUGCCCCUUAUGACCUGGGCUACACACGUGCUACAAUGGACGGUACAAACGGUUGCCAACCCGCGAGGGGGAGCUAAUCCGAUAAAACCGUUCUCAGUUCGGAUUGUAGGCUGCAACUCGCCUACAUGAAGCCGGAAUCGCUAGUACCGGAUCAGCCAUGCCCGGUGACAUACGUUCCCGGGCUGCACACACGCCCGUCGCACCUCUACCUUUGUAAACCCGCAGGCGGCCAGGAAACCUUUUGGGGCC
rnacentral:rRNA from 1 species